rnacentral:rRNA from 1 species
UACGGAAGGCAGCAGUGGGGAAUAUUGCACAAUGGGCGAAAGCCUGAUGCAGCUAUGCCGCGUGUAUGAAGAAGGCCUUAGGGUUGUAAAGUACUUUCAUCGGGGAGGAAAAACAAAACUAAUAAUUUUAUUUCUUGACGUUACCCGAAAAAGAAGCACCGGCUAACUCCGUGCCGGCAGCCGCGGUAAUACGGAGGGUGCUAGCGUUAAUCAGAAUUACUGGGCGUAAAGAGCACGUAGGUGGUUUUUUUAAGUCAGAUGUGAAAUCCCUGGGCUUAACCUAGGAACUGCAUUUUGAAACUGAAAUACUAGAGUAUCGUAGAGGGAGGUAGAAUUCUAGGUGUAGCGGUGAAAUGCGUAGAUAUCUGGAGGAAUACCUGUGGCGAAAGCGGCCUCCUAAACGAAUACUGACACUGAGGGUGCGAAAGCGUGGGGAGCAAACAGGGAUUAGAUACC